UCAGAUUGAACGCUGGCGGCAGGCUUAACACAUGCAAGUCGAGCGGAAACGAUACCAGCUUGCUGGUAGGCGUCGAGCGGCGGACGGGUGAGUAAUACUUAGGAAUCUACCUAGUAGUGGGGGAUAGCUCGGGGAAACUCGAAUUAAUACCGCAUACGUCCUACGGGAGAAAGGGGGCAACUUGUUGCUCUCGCUAUUAGAUGAGCCUAAGUCGGAUUAGCUAGAUGGUGGGGUAAAGGCCUACCAUGGCGACGAUCUGUAGCUGGUCUGAGAGGAUGAUCAGCCACACCGGGACUGAGACACGGCCCGGACUCCUACGGGAGGCAGCAGUGGGGAAUAUUGGACAAUGGGGGGAACCCUGAUCCAGCCAUGCCGCGUGUGUGAAGAAGGCCUUUUGGUUGUAAAGCACUUUAAGCAGUGAAGAAGACUCUUCGGUUAAUACCCGGAGACGAUGACAUUAGCUGCAGAAUAAGCACCGGCUAACUCUGUGCCAGCAGCCGCGGUAAUACAGAGGGUGCAAGCGUUAAUCGGAAUUACUGGGCGUAAAGCGAGCGUAGGUGGCUUGAUAAGUCAGAUGUGAAAUCCCCGGGCUUAACCUGGGAACUGCAUCUGAAACUGUUAGGCUAGAGUAGGUGAGAGGGAAGUAGAAUUUCAGGUGUAGCGGUGAAAUGCGUAGAGAUCUGAAGGAAUACCGAUGGCGAAGGCAGCUUCCUGGCAUCAUACUGACACUGAGGCUCGAAAGCGUGGGUAGCAAACAGGAUUAGAUACCCUGGUAGUCCACGCCGUAAACGAUGUCUACUAGUCGUUGGGUCCCUUGAGGACUUAGUGACGCAGCUAACGCAAUAAGUAGA
rnacentral:rRNA from 1 species